ACACAUGCAAGUCGAACGAGAGAGAAGGAGCUUGCUUCUUCGAUCGAGUGGCGAACGGGUGAGUAACGCGUGAGGAAACCUGCCUCAAAGAGGGGGACAACAGUUGGAAACGACUGCUAAUACCGCAUAAGCCCACGGGUCGGCAUCGACCAGAGGGAAAAGGAGUAAUCCGCUUUGAGAUGGCCUCGCGUCCGAUUAGCUAGUUGGUGAGGUAAUGGCCCACCAAGGCGACGAUCGGUAGCCGGACUGAGAGGUUGAACGGCCACAUUGGGACUGAGACACGGCCCAGACUCCUACGGGAGGCAGCAGUGGGGAAUAUUGCACAAUGGGGGAAACCCUGAUGCAGCGACGCCGCGUGGAGGAAGAAGGUCUUCGGAUUGUAAACUCCUGUUGUUGAGGAAGAUAAUGACGGUACUCAACAAGGAAGUGACGGCUAACUACGUGCCAGCAGCCGCGGUAAAACGUAGGUCACAAGCGUUGUCCGGAAUUACUGGGUGUAAAGGGAGCGCAGGCGGGAAGACAAGUUGGAAGUGAAAUCCAUGGGCUCAACCCAUGAACUGCUUUCAAAACUGUUUUUCUUGAGUAGUGCAGAGGUAGGCGGAAUUCCCGGUGUAGCGGUGGAAUGCGUAGAUAUCGGGAGGAACACCAGUGGCGAAGGCGGCCUACUGGGCACCAACUGACGCUGAGGCUCGAAAGUGUGGGUAGCAAACAGGAUUAGAUACCCUGGUAGUCCACACCGUAAACGAUGAUUACUAGGUGUUGGAGGAUUGACCCCUUCAGUGCCGCAGUUAACACAAUAA
rnacentral:rRNA from 1 species